UCCGCUAUGGUGUAGUUGGUAACAUGACUGGUUUUCAUCCAGUAGCCCCGGGUUCGAUUCCCGAUAGCGGAU
rnacentral:tRNA from 1 species